UCGGAGGCUGAGGUGAGACAAUUGCUUGAUCUCAGAAGAUCUAGGCUGCAGUGAGCUGUGAUUGUGCCACUGAACUCCAGCCUGGGUGACAGAGUGAGGUCCUGUCUAAAACAAAAUAACAACAACGAACCUUAGGGAAUCUCACAAAAAUGUAGUUUUGGUCAAUUUUUCCUAUUUUAAGUUCCUGAUUUUUCCUUACAUUCUAAAGCAAAGGACAAUGAAAGCAUUGAUGAGACCUAGGCUGGAGGAGCCUGCCCUAGACUUAACAUAUUACCUCUGGGCAACCCCUGCAAAAUCUCCAGAGACUUAUACGGUGAGGAAUAAGCCAAUGUCAGCAUCUCCGAAAAGAUUUUCACUUUAGGCCUUCCUGAAGCAAGAGCCUAAGAGAGUUGGGAUCUAGCAAGUGCACAUUGUGCUCUCUUAAGCAUUUCCAACCAAGCAUUUCCCACCUGGAUACAGGGCUGUCUCUAGGAUGUGGGUGCUUGGUUACCAGAAUUCUAAGUUCUGUUGGGGUCUGUCACCAAGGAAGUAAGAUCACUUUUUCAAAGUUUCAUCCUCUGGGCUCCUUGCUUCCGUAAGACCUACCCCAAGGCCCUGCUGGGCCACUGACUGCUCACUAUCCCUGCAUGUUAACUCUUUACCUGUGUGCAAUUAUGCAAACACAGCCCUCAGUUCCCUGGAAAGACCUGAAUACAGCCAGGGCCUCAGGUGUGAGGUCACAGAUGUGGGUAAGAACCUACUCUUUCUUACAGUUCUGUGACACUAGCAAAGUUAUUGUGGGUUUAGGGGCCUUUCAACAUGUACAGUGGGUAACAUGCCAGCAUCUUCUUCCUAGGGAACUCAUCAGAAAGCAAGCUCCAGUGUUAUGAGCUGCCCUAGGCAGAGGCCUACACAACAGAGAAUGAGGGAGUGCCCAGGCCCCAGGAGACACUCAGGCUCUCAGUCCACACUGAACCUGGACAGUACCCACGUGAGUGUGCUUGGAAGCCAAUCCUCCCACAGCCCAGCUUCAGCUGAGAACACAGCCCCAGCCUCAUGGAGCCCCAUGUGGAGGCAGCCAGCAAAGCGGUGUCCAGAUUCUGGUCCACAUAAAUCAUGAGAUAGUAAGCAUUUGUUGUUUAAAGGUGCUAAGUUUGGGGACAAUGUUGUCAGAGAGAGGCAGAUCACUGUCUUCUUCCAGGCCCCAGAGUCAUCCUCCCUCUUUUCUUCUCUCCCCCAGGCUCCCUCUAGCCCACACCGGCCUCUUUCUCACAUCCUUGUCAUCCAACGUCACCUCUGCCUGCAUGUCUCUGCACCAGGAGUGGCGUCUCCCUGACAUACUGUUCCCAGACUUGUGUAGGGCUGGCCUUCUGUUGUUAUCCUGGUCAUGGCAUAAAUGUCACCUCAAUGAGGCAUUUGGGUCCCUCGAAUGCCAUGGCUCCCCUGCCCUCCCUCCCAACAUCUUACUUUAUUAUAGCAUUUACUCUUCUUUUAUAUGUACUUGCUUUAGUGUUUUUGUCCAUAUAUCCUCAGACUGUGGGCUCCCUGAGUGGGGGAAAGGGCAAUACAAUCAUUUCUCAGCACCACAUGCUGGGCCCACCAGGGCACUUGGCAUAGGUUUAGUUCUGUAGCAGGGUUGCUGAGUGAAUAAAUGAGGGAAUGUCUAA